AACGAACGCUGGCGGCAUGCCUAACACAUGCAAGUCGAACGAGAUCUUCGGGUCUAGUGGCGCACGGGUGCGUAACGCGUGGGAAUCGGCCCUUCGGGUCGGAAUUACAGUUGGAAACGACUGCUAAUACCGGAUGAUGACGAAAGUCCAAAGGUUUAUCGCCCGAGGAUGAGCCCGCGUAGGAUUAGCUAGUUGGUGCGGAAAAGGCGCACCAAGGCGACGAUCCUUAGCUGGUGUGAGAGGAUGACCAGCCACACCGGGACUGAACCACGGCCGAGACUCUUGCGCGAGGCAGAAGUGACUGAUAUUGGACGGAGGGCAAAGGCUUGAACGAGCACUGCCGCGUGAGCGAUGUAGUCCUUGGGGUUGUAGAGCUCUUUUACCCGUGAUGAGAAUGACAGUACCCGGAGAACAAGCUCCGACUAACUCCGUGCCAGCCGCCGCCGUAA
rnacentral:rRNA from 1 species